UAACUAUGGCGUUGGUUGUAGCUGGCUCCUCGGAGCAAUGUGCACGCCCGCCAUUUUUAUCUUUCCACCUGUGCACCGACUGUAGGUCUGGAUACCUCUCGCCUCCGGGCGGAUGCGAGGGUUGCUCGUAAGGGCUUCCCUUGAACUUCCAGGCUCUACGUCUUUUUACACACCCCAAUAGUAUGAUGCAGAAUGUAGUCAAUGGGCUUCUCAGCCUAUAAAACACUAUACAACUUUCAGCAACGGAUCUCUUGGCUCUCGCAUCGAUGAAGAACGCAGCGAAAUGCGAUAAGUAAUGUGAAUUGCAGAAUUCAGUGAAUCAUCGAAUCUUUGAACGCACCUUGCGCUCCUUGGUAUUCCGAGGAGCAUGCCUGUUUGAGUGUCAUUAAAUUCUCAACCUCACCAGUUUUCUGAACUGACUGAGGCUUGGAUGUGGGGGUUUGUGCAGGCUGCCUCACCGGCGGUCUGCUCCCCUGAAAUGCAUUAGCGAGGUUCAUGCUGGACCUCCGUCUAUUGGUGUGAUAAUUAUCUACGCCGUGGACGAGGAUACAGACUCGCUUCUAACCGUCCGCGAGGACAAUACCUUGACAAUUUGACCUCAAAUCAGGUAGGACUACCCGCUGAACUUAAGCAUAUCAAUAAGCCCGGAGGA
rnacentral:rRNA from 1 species